rnacentral:rRNA from 1 species
GAUGAACGCUGGCGGCGUGCCUAAUACAUGCAAGUCGAGCGAACAGACGAGGAGCUUGCUCCUCUGACGUUAGCGGCGGACGGGUGAGUAACACGUGGAUAACCUACCUAUAAGACUGGGAUAACUUCGGGAAACCGGAGCUAAUAACGGAUAAUAUAUUGAACCGCAUGGUUCAAUAGUGAAAGACGGUUUUGCUGUCACUUAUAGAUGGAUCCGCGCCGGCUUAGCUAGUUGGUAAGGUAACGGCUUACCAAGGCAACGAUGCGUAGCCGACCUGAGAGGGUGAUCGGCCACACUGGAACUGAGACACGGUCCAGACUCCUACGGGAGGCAGCAGUAGGGAAUCUUCCGCAAUGGGCGAAAGCCUGACGGAGCAACGCCGCGUGGGUGAUGAAGGUCUUCGGAUCGUAAAACUCUGUUAUUAGGGAAGAACAAAUGUGUAAGUAACUAUGCACGUCUUGACGGUACCUAAUCAGAAAGCCACGGCUAACUACGUG